rnacentral:rRNA from 1 species
ACCAGACUCCUACGGGAGGCAGCAGUGAGGAAUAUUGGUCAAUGGGCGAGAGCCUGAGCCAGCCAAGUCGCGUGAAGGAUGACGGCCCUACGGGUUGUAAACUUCUUUUGUCAGGGAGCAAUUGAGUCCACGUGUGGGCUUAGCGAGAGUACCUGAAGAAAAAGCAUCGGCUAACUCCGUGCCAGCAGCCGCGGUAAUACGGAGGAUGCGAGCGUUAUCCGGAUUUAUUGGGUUUAAAGGGUGCGCAGGCGGGAGAUCAAGUCAGCGGUAAAAUGUCGGGGCUCAACCCCGGCCGGCCGUUGAAACUGGUUUUCUAGAGUUGGAGAGAAGUAUGCGGAAUUCGUGGUGUAGCGGUGAAAUGCAUAGAUAUCACGAAGAACUCCGAUUGCGAAGGCAGCAUACCGGCUCCAUACUGACGCUGAGGCACGAAAGCGUGGGGAUCGAACAGGAUUAGAUACCCCGGUAA